rnacentral:rRNA from 1 species
UACAGAGGUCUCAAGCGUUGUUCGGAUUCAUUGGCGUAAAGGGUGUGUAGGUGGCGCGCUAAGUCGGGUGUGAAAUUUCGGAGCUUAACUCCGAAACUGCAUUCGAUACUGGCGUGCUUGAGGACUGGAGAGGAGACUGGAAUUCGAUGGUGUAGCAGUGAAAUGCGUAGAGAUCAUGAGGAAGACCAGUGGCGAAGGCGGGUCUCUGGACAGUUCCUGACGCUGGAGGCACGAAGGUCAGGGGAGCAAACGGG